rnacentral:rRNA from 1 species
GAUGAACGCUGGCGGCGUGCCUAAUACAUGCAAGUCGAGCGAACGGACGAGAAGCUUGCUUCUCUGAUGUUAGCGGCGGACGGGUGAGUAACACGUGGAUAACCUACCUAUAAGACUGGGAUAACUUCGGGAAACCGUAGCUAAUACCGGAUAAUAUUUUGAACCGCAUGGUUCAAAAGUGAAAGACGGUCUUGCUGUCACUUAUAGAUGGAUCCGCGCUGCAUUAGCUAGUUGGUAAGGUAACGGCUUACCAAGGCAACGAUGCAUAGCCGACCUGAGAGGGUGAGCGGCCACACUGGAACUGGGACACGGUCCAGACUCCUACGGGAGGCAGCAGUAGGGAAUCUUCCGCAAUGGGCGAAAGCCUGACGGAGCAACGCCGCGUGAGUGAUGAAGGUCUUCGGAUCGUAAAACUCUGUUAUUAGGGAAGAACAUAUGUGUAAGUAACUGUGCACAUCUUGACGGUACCUAAUCAGAAAGCCACGGCUAACUACGUG